AACUUUCAAUUGCGGAUCUCUUGGUUCUGGCAUCGAUGAAGAACGCAGCGAAAUGCGAUCGUAUGUGAAUUGCAGAAUUCAGUGAAUCAUCGAAUCUUUGAACGCACAUUGGCCCCAUUAGUAUUCUAGUGGGCAUGCCUGUUCGAGCGUCAUUUCAACCCUUAA
rnacentral:rRNA from 1 species